GCUAAGGCAUGAAGUUAGGAGAG
rnacentral:piRNA from 1 species